GAGGGCGCCGCGGACCUGUCCGGCCGUGCGCAUGCGCCGCACGCCCGCCCCGCAAGGAUGAAUGAACACUGAAUCCUUUAGAAAACAGCUCCAAACAUUUCCACCAUAGUCAGGGACUCCAGUGUUGCCUUAGGGAUGAGGACUCCAUGGAUAUUUAACGAAGAAAGGGGAAGAGGACAGGGGACAGAGGCCUGAGAAUCCCCUGGGAAGGGCUAGAAGCUCAUCCAGCAUUGAAAGAUGACAUCAGAGCCGCUAUUCAAAAAGAACCCAAGAACGUCAGCCACAUCGCUGUUAAAGGCUAUAUAACACUCCGCUGUGCAGCUCAACCAUGAAGUGUUGAAUGAUUCUGGAGUUCAGCUGAAGGGAGGUUUCUUCAAUGUCAAUAAAGGAAAAGGCACAGGCACAGGAGGGCGCCACCUGAAGGAAGGGACAAGAUGCCAUAAAAUCAUAGAUGGCUCCAGAGGAACGGAAGGGAGAAAAAGGGUGGGCCGUUCACUUCUGAGCUUCACCCCACUGUGACCCCAAAACCUAUGGAGAGAAAUACCAUCAUUAGAAGACAAAAGGAUUUAAUGUGAAAUAUAAUGACAGAAGAACUAUUACCACCAAUAUCUCUGAUCAAUUGCUUAGUUUCUGCCAUUAUUACAGAAAGUGAUUUCUACCCAUUUAUAAUGCAAUCCUUACAACAUUAUGAAAGAUAUUUUAUUACUUCCCUGUUUUCAGAUGAGAAAAUGGAGGGACAAACAGUUCAAGUACUUUGCCAUAGGUUACAUACCUACGAGGAGGUGAACCAGGAUUCUAGACCAAGUCUUAGCUCCCUGCUUUGCAUAAAUCAUUCCACCUGCCUUGCUUCUCCAGCCCGUUUUCCUUUCUGUAAACAUUAACUAAAUCCCUCAGUGACCAAGCUCCACCUGAAAUACUACACUAAGGCUGGGCAUGGUGGCUCAUGCCUGUAAUCCCAGCACUUUGGGAGGCCGAGGUGGGCAGAUCAUUUGAGGUCGGGAGUUCGAGACCAGCCUGACCAACACAUAGAGAAACCCUGUCUCUACUAAAAAAAAAAAAAUACAAAAAUUAGCAGGGCGUGGUGGUGCAUGCCUGUAAUCCCAGCUACUCGGGAGGCUGAGGCAUGAGAAUCACUUGAACCCAGGGGGCAGAGGUUGAUUGCGCCAUUGCACUCCAGCCUGGGCAAAAAGAGCGAAACUCCAUCUUAAAAAAAAAUAAUAAUAAUAAUACACUACUCAUCUAUAAAACAGCCACAAUUAUCACCUACUUCAC
rnacentral:lncRNA from 1 species